AUCGACAAUACACGAUAAAUUUCACUUCAAUUUCAAUUUAUAUACCUCCAUCUUAAGAAUUAAUUCAAAAAUAUUCCUCAUAAAAUUUAAUAAAAAGUUAGGUCAAGGUGUAAUUUAUAUUAAAGAAUAAGAUGAAUUACAUUAAAUAAAAUCGAAGACUAUAAAUAAAAUAUUUAUAUAAAUAAGAAUUUAAAAGUAAUAUUAAAAUAAUAAUAAAAUAUGAUUAAUAAAAUAAAUGUGCACACAUCGCCC
rnacentral:rRNA from 1 species